rnacentral:rRNA from 1 species
AGUGAACGCUGGCGGUAGGCCUAACACAUGCAAGUCGAACGGCAGCACAGGAGAGCUUGCUCUCUGGGUGGCGAGUGGCGGACGGGUGAGGAAUACAUCGGAAUCUACCUUUUCGUGGGGGAUAACGUAGGGAAACGUACGCUAAUACCGCAUACGACCUACGGGUGAAAGCGGGGGACCGCAAGGCCUCACGCGAUUAGAUGAGCCGAUGUCCGAUUAGCUAGUUGGCGGGGUAAUGGCCCACCAAGGCGACGAUCGGUAGCUGGUCUGAGAGGAUGAUCAGCCACACUGGAACUGAGACACGGUCCAGACUCCUACGGGAGGCAGCAGUGGGGAAUAUUGGACAAUGGGCGCAAGCCUGAUCCAGCCAUACCGCGUGGGUGAAGAAGGCCUUCGGGUUGUAAAGCCCUUUUGUUGGGAAAGAAAUCCUGUCGAUUAAUACUCGGUGGGGAUGACGGUACCCAAAGAAUAAGCACCGGCUAACUUCGUGCCAGCCGCCGCCGUAAAAC